CCCUUGUGCUUCUGAAGAUCACUUCCCGAGAAAACAACCUGCUAGUCCUUCACACAGGGGCUGUUAUUGAGGCCAUCCAAAAUGUCAGAUCCCAUGGGAACAUAGUCAGCCUGAUAUUCCAGAGAGUUUCAAGAUAGAGCAAUCCUGAGAAAUCAAGAUCUAGCAUGGAAUUGGAUCAAGAUCUAGAAUGGAAACUCCUCAGGAUGAAAAUGACAUCUUUUACAGGUUCUCUCUGGUUCCAAGGUAUUCCCAGCUGCUGAGAGUCACAAAUUCUGUCUGAAUAGGAAUGUGACCUUUCCAGAGAGGAGCCAAUGUUUGGAGGAAGCAGCAUCUGGCCCCUCAGCUCUGCUCCUGAGAAGGGGAAUCAAGAAGCAGCCAAGGGGCGCCUGGGUGGCUCAGUUGGUUGGGCGUUGGACUUUGACUCAGGUCAU